UCGGUGACGCUGCGGCAGGCCUAAUACAUGCAAGUCGGACGGGAUCCGUCGGAGAGCUUGCUCGAAGACGGUGAGAGUGGCGCACGGGUGCGUAACGCGUGAGCAACCUACCUCUAUCAGGGGGAUAGCCUCUCGAAAGAGAGAUUAACACCGCAUAACAUAUCUGACCGGCAUCGGUUGGAUAUUAAAUAUUUAUAGGAUAGAGAUGGGCUCGCGUGACAUUAGCUAGUUGGUAGGGCAACGGCUUACCAAGGCGACGAUGUCUAGGGGCUCUGAGAGGAGAAUCCCCCACACUGGUACUGAGACACGGACCAGACUCCUACGGGAGGCAGCAGUAAGGAAUAUUGGUCAAUGGGCGGAAGCCUGAACCAGCCAUGCCGCGUGCAGGAUGACUGCCCUAUGGGUUGUAAACUGCUUUUGUCCAGGAAUAAACCUUUCUACGUGUAGGAAGCUGAAUGUACUGG
rnacentral:rRNA from 1 species